rnacentral:rRNA from 1 species
AUGAACGCUGGCGGCGUGCCUAAUACAUGCAAGUCGAGCGAACGGACGAGAAGCUUGCUUCUCUGAUGUUAGCGGCGGACGGGUGAGUAACACGUGGAUAACCUACCUAUAAGACUGGGAUAACUUCGGGAAACCGGAGCUAAUACCGGAUAAUAUUUUGAACCGCAUGGUUCAAAAGUGAAAGACGGUCUUGCUGUCACUUAUAGAUGGAUCCGCGCUGCAUUAGCUAGUUGGUAAGGUAACGGCUUACCAAGGCAACGAUGCAUAGUCGACCUGAGAGGGUGAUCGGCCACACUGGAACUGAGACACGGUCCAGACUCCUACGGGAGGCAGCAGUAGGGAAUCUUCCGCAAUGGGCGAAAGCCUGACGGAGCAACGCCGCGUGAGUGAUGAAGGUCUUCGGAUCGUAAAACUCUGUUAUUAGGGAAGAACAUAUGUGUAAGUAACUGUGCACAUCUUGACGGUACCCAAUCAGAAAGCCACGGCUAACUACGUG